UCGGCGGUCGACGUCACCGGCCUUCUAGCCAUCGCCGAUCCAUUUUUCAUUUUCCAUUUGUUUUGUCUCGUUUUCCCACAGACCUGGUUCUCAUUAUCCCUCAUUAUGUGUUGUGUAUUUAACCCUCUGUUUCCCACAUGUCUUUGUGUGGUAUUGUUUAUCUGUGUUGAUGUAUGCGCAUGUUAGUCUGGUUGCGCUGGGUUAUGUAUACCCGUUUUGUAUUUCAUGUUCUUUGUGCCGUGUGCUUUUGGUUCGCCUGAAUAAAAGGCUCCGUGUGCUACCAAAUACCUGCUCUCCUGCGCCUGACUCCCUUGCAGCCACUUACGCAUACCUGACAAAUCCUAGUGUCAGCUAAAGACUUGCAGAAAUCUCUGGAACAUGCUAACAUCUCUGGUGACGAGUCUGCGAUACGUAAAACACAAAACAAGAAUGGUGUUCAUGGGAGGACACCACGGAAGAAGCCACUGCUGUCCAAAAAAAACAUUGGGCCACUCCAGAAGGAGUUGAAGCCAUUCUGUUGUUGAUUUACUUCUGUGUUUUGGGUUGUUGUCCUGUUGCAUCACCCAACUUCUGUUGAGCUUCAAUUGGCGGACAGAUAGCCUAACAUUCUCCUGCAAAAUGUCUUGAUAAACUUGGGAAUUCGUUUUUCUGUCGAUGAUAGCAAGCUGUCCAGGUGCUGAGUCAGCAAAGCAGCCACAAACCAUGAUGCUCCCUCCACCAUACUUUACAGUUGGGAUGAGGUUUUGAUGUUGUUGUGCUGUGCAUUUUUUUCUCCACAGAUACUGUUGUGUGUUCCUUCCAAACAACUCAACUGUAGUUUCAUCUGUCCACAGAAUAUUUUGCCCGUAGCGCUGUAGAACAUCCAGGUGCACUUUUGCAAACUUCAGACGUGCAGCAAGUCAUAGCCAAGACCUCAACCCGAUUGAGAUGCAGUGGCAUGACCUCAAGAGAGCAGUUCACACCAGAUAUCCCAAGAAUAUUGCUGAACUGAAACAGUUUUGUAAAGAGGAAUGGUCCAAAAUUCCUUCUGAUCAUUGUGCAGGUCGGAUCCGCAACUACAGCAAACUUUUGGUUCAGGUUAUUGCUGCCAAAGGAGGGUCAACCAGUUAUUAAAUCCAAGGGUUCACAUACUUCUUCCACCCUGCACUGUGAUUGUUUACAUGGUGUGUUCAAUAAAGACAUG
rnacentral:lncRNA from 1 species